CCCCAACAGCGGUGCCAUCCUGCGUGGAGGAUGCUCUGAGCGGCAGCCUCUGACCCCGAAGCUGCCAGCCCAGCCCUACGGCAUGCACCCAUCUUGCAGGUUGGAGCACAGCUGUUCUCAGAGCUGAGCUGUGGGAUAACGAAGCUUAGCUCCACGCAGGUCACCAGGGUGCUGCUGGCUGUCCCAGGGCUGGAGCUGGUCCGGUAUCAGCUCCCACUCUAUCUUACGUGCUCGUGUUAGUCAAAUAUUAUUCUUCGAGGAAAAUGACAGAGAGAGGAAAUUAUUUUAUCAAGACGUGAAAAACUUGACAAGCCUGACACGGAGCAAGGCAGUGGGUAUGACGUGAUGCAGUGCUGCUGGUGCAGGGCAGGGUACUGCCUGCCCCACGGGGCCGUCGCCGGGGCCCCCACUCUUUGUGAAAGCAGCAAGCCCACAGCUGGAAAAUGGCCAUCUCUGAUGCUCCCCAUUUUCUUCCGAACAGCGAGAUUGUGGCAAUGCUGCUGAGCUGGUCGCUGGCUGGGGAGGUGGAAAGGGGAAGUAUGAGGGAGUAAAGAGGGGGCAGCAAGCCAGGAAAGCAAAGGGAGACUGUGUGAAGGACAGCUCUGACCUCCCCUGACUCCAGAGGAGUGCCUUUGAGGAUGCUUCUUGAACACCAGGAGGGAAAAGGGCUGGAGAAGCACAAGAUUCUGUUGUUCUUAUAUAUAUACCUCAAAUAUAUAUAUAUAUUUGCCGGGGCUUUUUUUAAAGAACGUGUUCAUCACUCAAGAUAUCAACCUCAGGCAAGUUUUCACUACCUGGGGAAAGGGCUCAGGGACCGGCACGUUAUUAACAUGGUAAUCUCCCCACACCCCUCCAGCUAAGUUUGAUUGAGAAGGCGCUAACAUGAGCUCAAAGUCAAAAUGGAUUGUUGAAAUCAACUUGAAAGCAAAAUAAAACAAAGCUAAACAAAGCAGAAUUGCUUCAAGCCUCUCAAAUUCCUAAUUAAUUCAGAAAACAAAUUAACCUUAGCCUCCUAUCUCCAG
rnacentral:lncRNA from 1 species